UGAGCCUUGAUGUGUAGGAUAGGUGGGAGGCUUAGAAGUGUGGACGCCAGUCUGCAUGGAGCCGACCUUGAAAUACCACCCUUUAAUGUUUGAUGUUCUAACGUUGACCCGUAAUCCGGGUUGCGGACAGUGUCUGGUGGGUAGUUUGACUGGGGCGGUCUCCUCCUAAAGAGUAACGGAGGAGCACGAAGGUUGGCUAAUCCUGGUCGGACAUCAGGAGGUUAGUGCAAUGGCAUAAGCCAGCUUGACUGCGAGCGUGACGGCGCGAGCAGGUGCGAAAGCAGGUCAUAGUGAUCCGGUGGUUCUGAAUGGAAGGGCCAUCGCUCAACGGAUAAAAGGUACUCCGGGGAUAACAGGCUGAUACCGCCCAAGAGUUCAUAUCGACGGCGGUGUUUGGCACCUCGAUGUCGGCUCAUCACAUCCUGGGGCUGAAGUAGGUCCCAAGGGUAUGGCUGUUCGCCAUUUAAAGUGGUACGCGAGCUGGGUUUAGAACGUCGUGAGACAGUUCGGUCCCUAUCUGCCGUGGGCGCUGGAGAACUGAGGGGGGCUGCUCCUAGUACGAGAGGACCGGAGUGGACGCAUCACUGGUGUUCGGGUUGUCAUGCCAAUGGCACUGCCCGGUAGCUAAAUGCGGAAGAGAUAAGUGCUGAAAGCA
rnacentral:rRNA from 1 species